AACGAACGCUGGCGGCAUGCCUAACACAUGCAAGUCGAACGAGACCUUCGGGUCUAGUGGCGCACGGGUGCGUAACGCGUGGGAACCUGCCCUUAGGUUCGGAAUAACUCCCCGAAAGGGGUGCUAAUACCGGAUAAUGUCUUCGGACCAAAGAUUUAUCGCCUUUGGAUGGGCCCGCGUUGGAUUAGCUAGUUGGUAGGGUAAAAGCCUACCAAGGCGACGAUCCAUAGCUGGUCUGAGAGGAUGAUCAGCCACACUGGGACUGAGACACGGCCCAGACUCCUACGGGAAGCAGCAGUGGGGAAUAUUGGACAAUGGGCGAAAGCGUGAUCCAGCAAUGCCGCGUGAGUGAUGAAGGCCUUAGGGUUGUAAAGCUCUUUUACCCGGGAUGAUAAUGACAGUACCGGGAGAAUAAGCACCGGCUAACUCCGUG
rnacentral:rRNA from 1 species